rnacentral:rRNA from 1 species
GACGAACCGUGCGAACGUUAUUCGGAAUCACUGGGCUUAAAGCGCGUGUAGGCGGGACGGCACGUCGGUCGCUGAAAGCCCCCCGGCUCAACCGGGGAACGGGCGCCGAUACGACCGGCCUGGAGGGACGUAGGGGGACCUGGAACUUCCGGUGUAGCGGUGAAAUGCGUAGAUAUCGGAAGGAACACCUGUGGCGAAAGCGGCUCACUGGACCAUUACUGACGCUGAGGCACGAAAGCUAGGGGAGCAAACAGG